rnacentral:rRNA from 1 species
UGGGGAAUAUUGCGCAAUGGGGGAAACCCUGACGCAGCGACGCCGUGUGAGGGAAGAAGGCUUUCGGGUCGUAAACCUCUGUCAGGAAGGAAGAACCUCUCAAGGCUGAACAAGCCUUGGGACUGACGGUACUUCCAGAGGAAGCACCGGCCAACUCCGUGCCAGCAGCCGCGGUAAUACGGAGGGUGCAAGCGUUAAUCGGAAUCACUGGGCGUAAAGCGCGCGUAGGCCGUCUUUUAAGUCGGACGUGAAAGCCCUCGGCUCAACCGGGGAACUGCGUUCGAUACUGGGAGACUUGGGUCCUGGAGAGGGUGGCGGAAUUCCGGGUGUAGGAGUGAAAUCCGUAGAUACCCGGAGGAACACCGGUGGCGAAGGCGGCCACCUGGACAGGUACUGACGCUGAGGCGCGAAAGCGUGGGGAGCAAACAG